CCUACGGGUGGCAGCAGUAAGGAAUAUUGGUCAAUGGACGAAAGUCUGAACCAGCCAUGCCGCGUGGAGGAUGAAGGUCCUCUGGAUUGUAAACUUCUUUUAUAUGGGACGAAAAAGGGCCUUUCCAGGCCAACUGACGGUACCAUAUGAAUAAGCACCGGCUAACUCCGUGCCAGCAGCCGCGGUAAUACGGAGGGUGCAAGCGUUAUCCGGAUUCACUGGGUUUAAAGGGUGCGUAGGUGGGUCGGUAAGUCAGUGGUGAAAUCUCCGAGCUUAACUUGGAAACUGCCAUUGAUACUAUCGGUCUUGAAUACUGUGGAGGUCAGCGGAAUAUGUCAUGUAGCGGUGAAAUGCUUAGAUAUGACAUAGAACACCAAUUGCGAAGGCAGCUGGCUACACAAAUAUUGACACUGAGGCACGAAAGCGUGGGGAUCAAACAGGAUUAGAUACCCGUGUAGUC
rnacentral:rRNA from 1 species